rnacentral:piRNA from 1 species
UGGUCAAGAGGGGAUGAACAGGAAGAAUU